rnacentral:lncRNA from 1 species
UCUUGCAAGAUCCAGAAGAUCUAACCACCACAACACCAGAUCUGCACAACAAUCAACAGAAUCAGAUUAACACAGCGGAAAUAAACAGUACCAAGAGCUUUAAUGCUCUGAUACCAUGUAGAAUUUUAUGGAAUGAACACAAACACAAAUGAACAGCAGAAAUAGCGACAAAACAAGUGACCAAAAUCUUAUUUAACCAACCCAAAAGCUUUACCCCCCAAAAUACCCAAAGAUCUCACAAUAAUGAGAUCAGAUCUUACAAACAGAAAGCAGCCUUUUAUACUCCAAACUUUCACAUAAGUCCAUAACAAUCAGCAA